GCCAGUCGCCCCCACUCUAUGUCUCUAUCUUCUCUCUCUCUCUCUCUCUCUCUCUGCUCGAUCCCCUCCUUUCUCUCGAUCUCCACCUCCGCCACUACUAUCGCCGCCUCUCCUGGCCAUCUCCGGUGGUCUUCAGCGCCGCGCUAGCUCAUAAAUUACUUCCCUCGCUCCGCUCUUCCUUUCAGUCCAACCAAUCUCCUUGAUUGCUUCCUCCUAGCCCGGUCCCUUGUUCUUGGUGACCUAGGGUUUCGUUGGUGGUUCUGGUGUGGAACUCCGGUGAUCCCCCGGUUGAUGUGGGGUGCACAGGACGUCUCCAUUUUUCUCACCGCGGCGCGGUGAUGCUCCUGGGUGGCGUCUCCGUGCGAUGGUGCCCUUGGAGCAGCGUCAGCGUGCCCGGCGCUUGCUCUGGUCGCCGUGGAUUCUCCGACGAACUCCUAGCCCUUUCCUGGGUGUGAUGGUGGUCAGACCACAGCCAUGGUGUGGCUUUGUUUAUACUACGGCUCCAUCCCCUCUUGGGUCAUGUGAUGCUAGAAGAAUGAGCAUACGCAUUACAACAGGAGGCACUGACGGCCCAUGCAGACGGGCGUGGGGAAUGGAGACGGCAAAAUUGUACUCCCUCCAGUGUUGUUUCAUAAACGCUCUUAUAUUAUGGGACGGAGGGUUUCAUAAACGCUCUUAUAUUAUGGGACGGAGGGAGUACGUCUAAAAGAGGGUGGACGAGCAGAAGCUGAAGAAAAAGCUGAAAAUGGGAACACAACUAUGGAAGAAGAGUAGGAGAAGGAAAACAGAGGAACGGAAAGGCUGAUGCAUGCUUGCGAUGGUUAUAUUGCUUUGUGUGUGUUUAUACUAGUUGCUCUAUUUUGGAUGCCGUUUCCAGUGUUGUUUCAUGUUUGCUUUGUUGUUAUUCCCUCUGUUCUGAAUUAUAAGAUGUUUUAAUCUUUUUUCCUGAUUCA